GACGAACGCUGGCGGCGUGCUUAACACAUGCAAGUCGAACGAUGAACCCGGAGUUUGCUCCGGUGGAUUAGUGGCGAACGGGUGAGUAACACGUGAGUAACCUGCCCUUGACUCUGGGAUAACUGCGGGAAACUGUAGCUAAUACCGGAUACGACCCUCGGCGGCAUCGCCAGGGGGUGGAAAGAAUUUCGGUCAAGGAUGGACUCGCGGCCUAUCAGCUAGUUGGUGAGGUAAAGGCUCACCAAGGCGACGACGGGUAGCCGGCCUGAGAGGGUGACCGGCCACACUGGGACUGAGACACGGCCCAGACUCCUACGGGAGGCAGCAGUGGGGAAUAUUGCACAAUGGGCGCAAGCCUGAUGCAGCAACGCCGCGUGAGGGAUGACGGCCUUCGGGUUGUAAACCUCUUUUAGUAGGGAAGAAGCGAAAGUGACGGUACCUGCAGAAAAAGCACCGGCUAACUACGUGCCAGCAGCCGCCGCGG
rnacentral:rRNA from 1 species